CUGUGGUGAUGACUUUCUUAGGACACCUUUGGAUUUAAUUGUGCAAAGGCAACAUAAUUUCUGAGCAAC